rnacentral:lncRNA from 1 species
UGAAUAUAAAUUUGAAGCAUUCUCUUCCAUCUUUUCUUCUGACUUCUGCUGAACUACCACCUCGGAGGCAAUACUCAUACUGAUUUUAUCGCCAACGGCCUCGAUUUUUUCCCCCAACAAGGUGGCAGCCUCCUCAAAUGAAGAAUACACAUUAUCACGAGCAUCAGAUUUCUUCUUUCUCUUGUUUGAAGAUGAGAAACCCCCUUGGUCUCUAUAUCCUCGCGGAUCUGUACCAGAAACAUCCAUGUCGUCUAAAGAGACGUCAGCUUCGCAGUCAUAGAAUGUGUUUCUCUCUUCAUUCAUAUCUGUAGU